GACGAACGCUGGCGGCGUGCUUAACACAUGCAAGUCGAACGGAAAGGCCCUGCUUUUGUGGGGUGCUCGAGUGGCGAACGGGUGAGUAACACGUGAGUAACCUGCCCUUGACUUUGGGAUAACUUCAGGAAACUGGGGCUAAUACCCGAUAGGAGCUCCUGCUGCAUGUUGGGGGUUGGAAAGUUUCGGCGGUUGGGUAUGGACUGGCGGGUUAUCAGCUUGUUGGUGGGGUAGGGGCUUACCAAGGCUUUGACGGGUAGCCGGCCUGAGAGGGUGACCGGCCACAUUGGGACUGAGAGACGGCCCAGACUCGUACGGGAGGCAGCAGUGGGGAAUAUUGCACAAUGGGCGGAAGCCUGAUGCAGCAACGCCGCGUGCGGGAUGACGGCCUUCGGGUUGUAAACCGCUUUCGCCUGUGACGAAGCGUGAGUGACGGUAAUGGGUAAAGAAGCACCGGCUAACUACGUG
rnacentral:rRNA from 1 species